UGGGAACAGUGAGUCACUCAGCUGGCC
rnacentral:piRNA from 1 species